rnacentral:rRNA from 1 species
UUAACACAUGCAAGUCGAGGGGAAACGAUAUUGGGAAGCUUGCUUCCGAUAGGCGUCGACCGGCGCACGGGUGAGUAACGCGUAUCCAACCUGCCCAUCACUUGGGGAUAACCUUGCGAAAGUAAGACUAAUACCCAAUGACGUCUCUAGAAGACAUCUGAAGGAGAUUAAAGAUUUAUCGGUGAUGGAUGGGGAUGCGUCUGAUUAGCUUGUUGGCGGGGUAACGGCCCACCAAGGCGACGAUCAGUAGGGGUUCUGAGAGGAAGGUCCCCCACAUUGGAACUGAGACACGGUCCAAACUCCUACGGGAGGCAGCAGUGAGGAAUAUUGGUCAAUGGGCGAGAGCCUGAACCAGCCAAGUAGCGUGCAGGAUGACGGCCCUAUGGGUUGUAAACUGCUUUUAUAAGGGAAUAAAGUGGGAGUCGUGACUCUUUUUGCAUGUACCUUAUGAAUAAGGACCGGCUAAUUCCGUG